ensembl:lncRNA
UAGAUCUAUGUAUCUCUCUCUAUAUAGACAGAUAUAUAGAUCUAUGUAUCUCUCUCUAUAUAGACAGAUAUAUAGAUCUAUGUAUCUCUCUCUAUAUAGACAGAUAUAUAGAUCUAUGUAUCUCUCUAUAUAGACAGAGAUUAUAGAUCUAUGUAUCUCUGUCUAUAUAGACAGAGAUUAUAGAUCUAUGUAUCUCUCUCUAUAUAGACAGAGAUUAUAGAUCUAUGUAUCUCUCUCUAUAUAGACAGAGAUUAUAGAUCUAUGUAUCUCUAGAUAUAUAGAUAUAUGAGUAUCAGAACCCUUUAAAUCAAAGUAUAGCAGGGAGAGGAAAACACAUUUAAGGAGUAUUCAAAACUACUUUGAUGUGUUACUCAAAUACUAAAGGGUCAGUUCACCAAUAUUGAACACUACGUUUCCCACAAUGCAACGGCGUCUUUCAGCGAGCGCUCUGACUGCCUCACGUCUUCCAAAUUGCUCUCCAACACUUUGUGAGAGUUUUGUUAUCUGGAGGUUUCAUCCGGUCACUUUUCUUUCACAGAAUAGCAGGACGCGCUAACUAGCGACUAGCUGGCUGGUUAGCUGGCGGCUAGCAGGCUGGUUAGCGAGCUUGCUAAUCACCAGGGAUGAUAAAACCGCCAUAAAAGCUUUUAGUGUCGUAGCCUCAAUAAUCAAUCAAGCCUGGAAAUAACGACAUCAUUCGGUAAUAAAUAAAUAUCCUCCAAAGCAAAAUGACCAUUUGAAACAAAGUAAAUAUGAUAAACCUUGAUUUAUUAUUGUAAAUGUUUUCCUUCUGUUAAACCUACUUUAGAUUUAUCAUUUAAAAUGUUCCCUGUGUUUUGGUGACCUGUCCCUUUUAAUCCCAACAGUCAGGAUAUUGAUCAUCGCUGAUGGUGACAUGCUGAUAGGAUAUUGAUCACUGAUUGUGACAUGCUGAUAGGAUAUUGAUCACUGAUGGUGACAUGCUGAUAGGAUAUUGAUUAUCGCUGAUGGUGACAUGCUGAUAGGAUAUUGAUUAUCGCUGAUGGUGACAUGCUGAUAGGAUAUUGAUUAUCGCUGAUGGUGACAUGCUGAUAGGAUAUUGAUUAUCACUCCUUGAUGACAUGUUGAUAGACUGCCGACAAUCAGAUAACAUUGAUAAACAUCUCUCUCCUCUUCCUGUAAACCAGUUGUAAACAAACUGCUUCCUGCCGGCGGCGUCAGAACGUCCGUCAACAUAAAGGGAACUUUUAGCGCUCUGAGAUGGUCUUUGUUUUAUAUGAAAUGAAUAUAUAUAUAUGAGGAAUGUAAAAGGAUUUGUGUUUUUCUGUGAAACUGGGGAAUAGCUUUUCUUCUUCUUCUCUGCUCCCGCGUUGCUGCUGCGCCAGCUCUCUGUUUUUGUACCAGAGCCAGGUGGACUUUCUAUUAAAAACAAUAAAAAGGACGAUCAG